rnacentral:rRNA from 1 species
CGCGGUAACACCAGCGCCACAAGUGGUAACCACAUUUAUUUGGUCUAAAGCGUUCGUAGCUGGUUCAUUAAGUCUUUUGUGAAAUUGUUGGCUUUAAUCUAACAACGUGCAAGAGAAACUACUGGACUUGAGACUGGGAGGAGAUAGGAGUAUUCCAAGGGGAGCGGUAAAAUGUUAUAAUCCUUGGAGGACUACCUGUGGCGAAGGCGCCUAUCUAGAACAGUUCUGACAGUGAGGAACGAAGGCCAGGGGAGCAAAACGGAUUAGAUACCCGAGUAGUCCUGGCAGUAAACGCUGUGAGCUAUAUGUUGCAUAUUCUUAGAGGAUGUGCAGCGUCUAAGUGAAGACGUUAAGCUCACCACCUGGGAAGUACGGCCGCAAGACUGAAACUUAAAGGAAUUGGCGGGGGCUCACCACAACAGGUGGAGCGUGCGGUUCAAUUGGAUUCUACGCCGGAAAUCUCACCAGAAGCGAUGGCAGAAUGAAGGUCAGAUUAAAGGUUUUACCUGACACGCCAAGAGGUAUUGCAUGGCCGUCGUCAGCUCGUGCCGUGAGGUGUCCAGUUAAGUCUGGUAACGAGCAAGACCCAUAUUUACAUUUGCUAACAGGUUCUCCGGAACGACUGAGCACUAUGUAGAGACUGCCUUCGUAAGAAGGAGGAAGGUGUGGGCCACGGUAGGUCAGUAUGGUCCGAAUCUUCUGGGCUACACGCGCGCUACAAUGGUAAAGACAGAAGGAUACAACUCUGAAAAGAGAAGUUAACCCUUUAAACUUUAUCUUAGUUCGGAUUGAGGAUUGUAACUCAUCCUCAUGAAGCUGGAAUCUGUAGUAAUCGGUCCUCAUUAUAGACCGGUGAAUACGUCCCUGAGCCUUGCACACACUGCCCGUCAAACCAACCGAGCAGGGUUCAGAUGAGGCUUAAUCUUUAGAUUAACUCGAAUCUAAACUCAGUAAGGUGGGUUAAGUCGUCACAAGGUAUCCGUAGGGGAACCUGCGGAUGGAUCACCUCC